GGAAGUUGGACAAUGUUGCUGCUGUUCCUCAUCUCUCUCCUGAUGAAGAUUGAACCAACUCUGUCAAUCAUCCGAUAAUAGAAGGGAAGGAUUUGAAGAAAGAAGUGGCCACCUUCACCACUUUGCUUCUAGUGUACGAAUUGCUGAACGAAAGCAAAGAUGGGAAGACUCGCCCCACCAGGUUGUCAGCAACUCUGUUGGUGGACUCUCCUUGCAUAUGCUCGGAGCUCAUUGAUCCUACAAUAAAUGAGUCAUAUCACAGAAAAUGAAUGCAGUUGUUUCAGCCUUUGGAUAUAAUCUGAUGUGCCGGGAUCCUCAAUCAUCGAUGAAGGAGAUAUUUGUGGGAUAUCCCCCUUCCUUUAGCUGUUUGAUUUUCCAUCUCCAGUCACAGCUGGAAUUGUAGAAAAGAGCUUUGAUCAGAUACAUUUGUAUGGAAACAGUGUCGGUUCAAAUGCAGCAAGACACAGAGAACAGUCAGGCUCGUGCUGACAAAAUUGGACUUCGUCAGUUAAUAUUGGCAGGCACCUUUGUCAGAAAGAGUGAAGGCAACUUCGGCUUUCACAACACCGAAUGGAUCGUAUCAGUUUAAAGUCAUGACAUUUCAUGGGAAAAAUGCGCCAGCCAUAUUUCAGAGACUAACUAAUAUGGUCAUUGUUGCAGUACUCAACUGUUUCGUUUACACACAUGGGAGGAACAUUUACAACACUUAUCAGAUAUGUUUGAUCUACUUUGGAAGGGAGGCUUGGUGAAAAACCUGGUUAAAAGUGAAUUUGUCAAAGCCCAAUUCGCCUUCCUGGACCAUGUAUUGGACUCGGAAAAAUACCCCCAUAGGAUGCAACAACAAAGCAAAUUGGGCAGUUUCCCAUAACAUCGACAAAAAGAGCACUGAAUUUUAUCGAAAAUUUGUUCCAAACUUUAUCAAUGUGGCUGCUUCUCUCACUGAAUUGCUAAAGAAAGGCAAACGAUCUCAGUGGACGGUGAACUGUCAGAAGGCAUUUGACAGGCUGAUGGCUGUGUUAAGCUGUGCCCUGGCAUUCUCCACACCGAUUAUGCAAAACCAUUCAAGAUGCAUAUUGAUGCAAAUGAUCUGGUUGUCAGUGCUGUGCUGUUGCAAGAAGAUGAGGAGAAGAUAGAAAUACCUGUGAGGUAUUUCUACAGGGAGUUGAACAUUCAUCAGCAGAAAGACUCGACUUUUGAGAAGCAGUCUUUAGCUUGGUGUUGGUAUGAUAACAUAUCAAUGUUUGUUACCAGUGACGCAUCUGAGACAAUCAUAUGCACUGAUCAUAACCCAUUGAAAUUUAGGAGACUGUUUGGAUGGAGCUUAUUGUUACAGCUAUUCAAUUUUAAAAUUGUGCAUGUGGUAGGACAAGAAAAAAUGAUUGCCAACGCAUUGUCAAGACUAUAAUGGGAAACAGAGACUUUCGGUGGCAGGAGUACAACAGACUGUAACCGAAUGUAGUUGUGCAUGUCUGCAUGUUUAUAGCCAAUGUAACAGAUAAGUGUGCUAAAGAGCCAACAAAUUUUAAAGGGUUUUAAAACAAUGGAAUCCUUGGAUAUUGAUGGUUCCUUUUUUUAAACGUGUGGAGCGUGUGAUCAAUCUGUUCCGUUCAUAAUGUAUGCUGCCUUUUCCAUUUCUUUUUCUGAGUGGGUGUAAAUGACAGACACUGAAAAAUCCUAAGAUUGAAAGGCUUUAGCGCCAAGUUGUUUAUAGCUAACAGAUACUGCAUCAGCCAGAAGAUUUUCAACUUAAAAAUAAACACUUGUCCAAUUAAAGGGGAGUGACCAGUUCUCAUAUCUCAGCCAAAUCUGAUUUGGUUUGGUUUGGUUUUAGCAGUAGUGUGAAGAAAGGCUGCUGGACCCAGAAUGCAGGUCCAUGCUGAUCUCUUUGACUUCUAUUCUGGAAGAGCAUGUUUGAUUUUAUCUUUUGUACCAAGGGUUGUUUAUGUGGAUUGGUACAGGUAUCUGGAACAGCAUCAUUAAUUUAGGAUACAUUAUU